AUCAUACCAUCCUUUCCUCCUGUCUCCAGUGUGUAAUAUUUCAUGUAAUUGAUUUAAAUAUGCAAUAGUGAUUCGCAGUUCGUAACGUCAUAUCUUUUAUGAGUCAGUGAAGUAAUUUACAUGCGGAAUGACGUAGCGAUUAGUAAAAAAUUUGGAAAAAGAAUACUUCGAACAAGACUAAUUUUCGAACGAGAAUCGAUUUCCGCCGACGAUCGAAAGGCCAAGCUUGCGGAAAUCGAACCAUCCACGGAUGAAAAGCGAGAAUGAAGGAAGUCGGAAUGAACGAAUGGAUGGAGUAUCAAUAAAACUAACUAUGCAAAAAUACGUAUCGUGAUCCAUUAGCCUGAUCUGUAAUGGCUCAUCCUGCAAUUCUGCAUCGUCAACUUCAAAUUUAUACCAUUCCG